AGGCAGUCAGCCUAAGUCUUAGAACUUUGGCAGGCUUCUUGGUACGAUGAGGGCGGAAUUAACAUACUGUUAAUUCUCUUAUAGAGCAGGAAGGUAGAAAAACUGGAGCCUUGGAUGAUAUCAUGAGGCAAAUGAAUUAAUCAAGCUUGGAAUCAUCUUGCCUCUUGACCUCUUAUUAUGUAUGAAACAUAUUUUCCUUAUUUUGAGAAUACAGAACAUAUAUCACCAAGUAAAUUAACCCAUUUGCUAACUAAGUAGGUUAAGAUAAAGUUCCAUUUUGAGUUGGAUUUUCUGUUAUUUGUAGCUGAAGGCAUUCAGUUGAUACACUACCUCCCUGGAUUGUUGUUUGGAUUAAGUUAGGUUUAUACUGCUGUUGCAGUGUCUGGCUUGUGCACUCCUUUGUGUUCAUGGCGGGGAAUGCCUAGCCUGACGAUGUCAUCUCAGUCUUCCAUAUGGCUGGAAGUCCUUCCUCUGAACAGGUACAUAACGUGCCUUCGAAAAGAAUAACUAAGGCAUGCUGCAUUACAGCAAAAAGAGGAAAACAUCAAGCAUCAUGGAUGGGAUUCCUGUCUCCAACUGCUGUUUAGGGUUUCCUGAAGAAGACUUAAUGUCUUAGUAUAUCAGCAUUAACAGAUGAACAUCUGCAAUUGAUUUUGAUGACUAGGAAUGCUAACUUGAACCCUGAUGAAAUGAUAUGUCACUUCCCCAAAACCAAUUCUAUUCUUCUCAUUAGUAGACCUGUAUUACAAAAAAAAAUUAUAUGGUAUUAUGUUUUGGAUUGCAACAAUAAAAUUUUGUGAAGUUUG